AUGUCAACCCAUCUUAGGGUCGUUUUGCAAACUCUUAGAAACGAGCGACUUUAUGCUAAUAUGGAGAAAUGCACUUUCGGUGUUGACAAGCUUGUUUUCUUGGGUUUUGUUGUGUCUUCUAAGGGUGUUCAUGUAGAUGAAGCUAAAAUUGAAGCUAUUAAAACUUGGCCACAACCAACCAACUUGCAACAAGUGUGUAGCUUCCUUGGUCUAGCCAGUUUUUAUCAUAGAUUCGUUAAGGACUUUAGCACUAUUGCAUCACCAUUACACGCAUUGAGUAAGAAGAAUGCAUCAUUUGUUUGGGGACCAUCCCAAGAUACCGCAUUUCAUGAGCUUAAGAAUUUGCUUACACAUGCUCCAUUGCUUGCAUUGCCCAAUUUUGAUAAAGCUUUCGAAGUGCAUUGCGACGCUAGUGGUAAUGGCAUAGGAGGUGUGUUGAUGCAAGAGAAGCACCCAAUAGCUUUAGCAAGAGACUUUCCGGAGCGCAACUUAACUAUCCCAUUUAUGACAAAGAGUUAUAGCUUUAGUGAGAGUCUUGCAUGUGUGGGAGCAUUAUCUUCGUCCUCGUGA
rnacentral:rRNA from 1 species